CCUACGGGGGGCUGCAGUGAGGAAUAUUGGUCAAUGGGCGCGAGCCUGAACCAGCCAAGUCGCGUGAGGGAUGACGGUCCUACGGAUUGUAAACCUCUUUUGCCGGGGAGCAAGCGUGCGUUCGUGAACGCGCGUCGAGAGUACCCGAAGAAAAAGCAUCGGCUAACUCCGUGCCAGCAGCCGCGGUAAUACGGAGGAUGCGAGCGUUAUCCGGAUUUAUUGGGUUUAAAGGGUGCGUAGGCGGACUGGAAAGUCAGCGGUAAAAUCGAGAGGCUCAACCUCUUUCCGCCGUUGAAACUGUCGGUCUUGAGUGGGCGAGAAGUAUGCGGAAUGCGUGGUGUAGCGGUGAAAUGCAUAGAUAUCACGCAGAACUCCGAUUGCGAAGGCAGCAUACCGGCGCCCGACUGACGCUGAGGCACGAAAGCGUGGGUAUCGAACAGGAUUAGAUACCCUUGUAGUC
rnacentral:rRNA from 1 species